rnacentral:lncRNA from 1 species
AAUUUUGGAUUUUAGACUAGGGCUUAGCUUGAUAUUGAGAUAAAAUUAAUGGAGUCGAGAAAAUAGCAUAUAGAGAUAUGCUUCUGCGUAGGGAUGGAGACGAGCCGAGCCGAGCUCGAGCGAGGUUACCUCAGCUCAAGCUUGACUUGAAAUUAAUUUCGAGCCUAAAUUUAGCUUAAGCUUGGCUUGAAAUUAAUUCGAGCCGAGCUCGAGCCUAAUUUCGAGUCGAGCGAACUCGAGCUCUAAACGAGCUGCUUGAAAUUCUUAACAUCAUGCAAUCUAUAGUUUAAUUU